AUGAGUAAAGUGGCGUACGGGUGAGUAACACGUGGAUCAUCUACCUUCUAGUGGGGAAUACCCCUGGGAAACCGGGGACAAUACCGCAUAAGCUCGUGAGAGGAAAGCAGCAAUGCGCUGGAAGAGGAGUCCGCGGCCGAUUAGCUAGUUGGCGGGGUAAAAGCCCACCAAGGCGAAGAUCGGUAGCCGGCCUGAGAGGGCACACGGCCACACUGGCACUGAAACACGGGCCAGACUCCUACGGGAGGCAGCAGUGGGGAAUCUUGCACAAUGGAGGAAACUCUGAUGCAGCGACGCCGCGUGAGCGAUGAAGCCCUUCGGGGUGUAAAGCUCUUUCGACGGGAACGAUAAUGACGGUACCCGAAGAAGAAGCUGCGGCUAACUACGUGCCAGCAGCCGCGGUAAUACGUAGGCAGCGAGCGUUGUUCGGAAUUACUGGGCGUAAAGAGUGUGUAGGCGGUGCUCUAAGUCUGUUGUGAAAUCUCCCGGCUCAACUGGGAGGGUGCGGCGGAAACUGGAGUGCUAGAGUGUGGGAGAGGUAAGCGGAAUUCCUGGUGUAGCGGUGAAAUGCGUAGAUAUCAGGAGGAACACCUGUGGUGUAGACAGCUUACUGGACCACGACUGACGCUGAGACACGAAAGCGUGGGUAGCAAACAGGAUUAGAUACCCUGGUAGUCCACGCCCUAAACGAUGCAUACUUGGUGUGAGCGAUUCAUUUCGUUCGUGCCGG
rnacentral:rRNA from 1 species